GUGGGGAAUAUUGGACAAUGGGCGAAAGCCUGAUCCAGCCAUGCCGCGUGUGUGAAGAAGGUCUUCGGAUUGUAAAGCACUUUAAGUUGGGAGGAAGGGCAGUAAGUUAAUACCUUGCUGUUUUGACGUUACCGACAGAAUAAGCACCGGCUAACUUCGUGCCAGCAGCCGCGGUAAUACGAAGGGUGCAAGCGUUAAUCGGAAUUACUGGGCGUAAAGCGCGCGUAGGUGGUUUUGUAAGUUGGAGGUGAAAUCCCCGGGCUCAACCUGGGAACUGCCUCCAAAACUGCAUGAAUAGAGGACGGUAGAGGGUAGUGGAAUUUCCUGUGUAGCGGUGAAAUGCGUAGAUAUAGGAAGGAACACCAGUGGCGAAGGCGACCACCUGGACUGAUACUGACACUGAGGUGCGAAAGCGUGGGGAGCAAACAGGAUUAGAUACCCGAGUAGUCC
rnacentral:rRNA from 1 species